rnacentral:rRNA from 1 species
GACGAACGCUGGCGGCGUGCUUGACACAUGCAAGUCGAACGGAAAGGCCUGCUUUCCCUUGUGGAUUGCGGGUACUCGAGUGGCGAACGGGUGAGUAACACGUGAGUGAUCUGCCCCCAACUUGGGUAUAAGCCUGGGAAACUGGGUCUAAUUCCCGAUAGGACUGCAGGGUGGUGCCUGUGGUGGAAAACGAUUUUCUAGUGGUUGGGGAUGAGCUCGCGGCCUAUCAGCUUGUUGGUGGGGUAAUGGCCUACCAAGGCGGCGACGGGUAGCCGGCCUGAGAGGGUGGACGGCCACAUUGGGACUGAGAUACGGCCCAGACUCCUACGGGAGGCAGCAGUGGGGAAUAUUGCACAAUGGGCGGAGGCCUGAUGCAGCGACGCCGCGUGGGGGAUGACGGCCUUCGGGUUGUAAACUCCUUUCGACCGCGAGGAAGCCACCUGGUUGGAAGGGUGGUGACGGUAGUGGUAGAAGAAGCACCGGCUAACUACGUG